rnacentral:rRNA from 1 species
AGGAAUACAUCGGAAUCUGCCUUGUUGUGGGGGAUAACGUAGGGAAACUUACGCUAAUACCGCAUAAGACCGUAAGGUGAAAGCGGGGGAUCGAAAGACCUCGCGCGACAAGAUGAGCCGAUGUCGGAUUAGCUAGUUGGCGGGGUAAUGGCCCACCAAGGCGACGAUCCGUAGCUGGUCUGAGAGGAUGAUCAGCCACGCUGGAACUGAGACACGGUCCAG